ACAAUCUCACCGCACUACAUCCGUGUGUAGAGUUUCCGUCAUUUCGGGGUAUCACAUCUGGCAACAUCCAUCUUGUUGUUACAAUUAUUCUCAAAGAGACACUGAAACAUCAGGCUUCAUUGUGUGCAAAGCUGCUGAUUUUGUUUGAAGGAGUCACUCGUGAUUUGACUUGGCAAUAUCCCAUGAAUUUGGUUUUUACAUCACCCCGUAAACUGAAAUUAAGCACCAGCAAGAAGAAGAGAAGUUGCUGGUGCCGAUUGCAUGAAAUACAAUCAGACUCUGUGAUUGCUAUUAUAUCAGCUUUGUCCAAAUCAUCAAUUGUUUUCCGGGCAGCGUUGUGCUUCAGCCGGGGAAGGAGCUGGAUGGAAGGAUGGAUGGAUGGAUGGAAGAUCAGGCAUGGGCACAUAGACACAACAAGGACGGCACAGGGUGAUGGAGAGUGGAAAAAGUGGCAAAAUACAGAAAGAAAUGGCUGAGCAAAGAGAGAGAGUAAUAGAGAGGGACAGAAGUCACACUCGGGCUGUUGCUCAAUGAGGGAGCGGCCUCCAACGCCACCUCUAAUCUGUGUCCAGUCAGCCCUGACACACACACACACACACACACAUCAGCAUCUGUAGAGGCAAACAGUUUCGGUUACAUGAAAAAUAGUCCCAUCGCUCUACUGCUGAUUGACACAGGGGGUUAGAAAUGGAAUUAUUUUAUUGUUGGUAUUGUUUUCUUCUACUGUGUGUGCGUGUGUGAGUGUGAGAUGGUCGAUGUCACUGCAGGCCAGGUGUUCCUCAGGGUCCGCUGGCUCUCUUUUGGUUUGGGGAGUUUGAUGAAUGAAGAGAGUAAACAGGGAGAGCGAGCGAGCUUGAUAAAUGAUUGGAGAGUGAUGGAUUGACUGCAAUCCUCCUGCAUCUGAAGCCUCUGCUCCUAUUGUGUUGGCUGCUGACUCUGUCAGGGCCAUGGUCCUCUCUCAUCUGACACCUUUUUGUUUAGGCAACGUUAUGUAUUUGAGGAUUUUGAUGAAGGACAAAUUAACCGUUGCUAUGCGUACCUUUAGCUAGCAGGGUCGAUCCAGCUCUGCGCCAUAAACUCUCAUGCAAUAGAUUUCCUUCAUUUAUGAUAUGUUCAGUUUCCUUUUAGGACAUACAUGUAUAGUUAAGCGGUGUGUAAUAUUGAUACUCUUUAUCUAACACUACAAUAUAGUGUUACUACAUAAAAAUGGUCACUUCAUUCCUUCACAUUGACCUUCAUGUCAAGUUUAACGGGAGCUUUUUUAAGCUAGCUUUAUACUCCGUUACGUUAGCAAUCUGCAAUUCUGUAUUUUAAGAUACAAUAACCGCAGAACCACAUAAACAACAUAUAUAGUUAUUCUUCAGCUGACAUGUCAAAUUUUGUAUAAUAGGUGAUUCAGAGAAAUUUUCCGGGAGUGAAUUUAGGAGUUGGUCUGCUUGGCUUUCCAGUCCAGAUACUUCCCAGAGUACACUUCAUUAAAACAGGGGGACUAAUUGUGUUGAAAUAACUCUGAAAGAGUCAGCUUAAGUUUAACUCAACACUGUAGGCUAUAGUUUACACUAAACAUAAAUAAAUAAACUCUUUGUAUUGGCAAACCUGGUUGUAUUUACCUCUGUUGUUGUAAAAAUAACUCAUCACAUAAGAGUUGAUAUACUUGGACAAUGCAUAUUUGUGUAUUAGCCAUUGACCAGCGUUAGCACUUCGAAGCUAUGCUAGGCACUGCAGGUACUAUACUGAAUGUACACACAUGCUGGUUUUGAUUUUGUGAAUUGAGUGAAUAAAAUUACUUGUCUUUACAGGCUCUGUGUUCUUCUCAUUUCAUUGUCAUCUCUUAAUGUCAUUGGUUCACUUUUACACUGUGAUCUGUAACUUUAACUUCUCUCUUUAUCUUUUAACCUGGUGAACCACUUUAACAUCCUGGUAUGUCCUUCAAUAUAAUGCCAAUAACUCUGAAAUAGCUUUUUCUGAAAAUGAAGGCUCAAAGACAGAUGAGGAAGAGGACAAAGCUCCUCCAGAGCCACCAAGGACACUGUACAACUGAUUUCUAUCACCAAACAAGAACUUCAAUAUUAUGACAGUUAUUAAAAAACCCAGCUUGAGCUCUAUAACAAUGAUUUUUUUAUGUCUAAAGCGAACAUUUUUUAGAUUGCAGCUUUGUGGAUCACAGCAGGUCAUGUGCCAAACAACUUAUGAGUUCAUUAUGGGCAAUGCAACACCACUGUUUCAUCUUCCGAGUAAAACCAGCAAAGCGCCUGUAUAUCUUGGCUGCAUUCUUUAAUGUUUCCGCAAUAGACUGCAACAAAAGCUUGCGUGGGUCUAGAUUUCCCCCUUUUCUUUCAUGCAGUGAUGACAGUUGACCACAGCUGGAGCCUGCUGCUUUGCUAUUAGCUCCAUGGUCGAUCUAUGAGCCUUAAACCUGUGAACUUAGAACCUCCCUGGGCUCCUACGCCCACGGAUCACAAGGGCUUCAGGUGUGUUGGCAAAUGUGACAUGUUACAUGUAUCAUGCACGUGCGUACAUCAUAAAGACCCCUGAGAAAACAGCUGCUCGCACAGCGUUCCUACAAACACUGCACGUUGCCGAUGGAUUUUAAAAGCCAGUCAAUAGAGAAUCAUACUUUUAAAAGCAAAAGGAAAUGCUGUUCCAUGGAUGCCCUUGGGCAAGGCGUUGAUCGGUUCAACAUGUCGCUCCCUGUGUUUCCUUCCUCACGACACUGGCAACAUUUCAAAGCAGCGAUUCCAAAUCAAUACAUACAUCACAUCCUGCUCGAUAUCAAUCUAGAGCAGAUCAGGGUGUUCCAUUAAUAACGUUUAUUUGACGAUUACCGUCAUAAGCUACAGCUCACCUUCCGUGGGGGCCCGGCCAGAUCAAUUGACAUCUGCUCCGAUUGGUUAAUCGCAGGUCGCAAUUCUGCUCGGCAGCCUAUGAGACCACCUCCCUCGUCUGUCAAUCAUAGGGGCUAAUGUGCGCAGGCCCGGUCAAUUGAUUCCCAGUCAUCUGAACAUAAUCCCUCUGCAAUUAACCAAUUAGGUCUUAAACCAACGCAGCACACACCUGUUUGGAAGCGCGUUUACUGCAGUCCGAGCUUUGGAUUGAAGGCCGGCAUUGAGGAAUGUGUGUGUCUGUGUGUGUGAUUGUGUGUACUGACGUUAUCAUGCAUGAGAUAUAUAUGAAGAUAUUAUUAUUAUCCCUGGGGCCCUCCACACGAAGAUCCAUGUUAAUUGAGAGAUACGUAAUUAGUUUACGAGUUUCGGCGCGUGUGCUUUUGUGUUCGUAUGUGUGUGUUUUUUUGUGUGUGUGUGUGUGCGCUGGGAGUGUUUAAUUGUGUUUAAUAGCGGGACUGUUAAUUAAACCGGUUAAUGCUGCAACUUUAUGGUUUUACUAUAUCACCCGCUGAGUCCUGCCUCUUCAUUAGCGGUUGUCCCACGCGUAGGUCCGCGGUUCGUACCUCUUGCGUCCGCGCUGUGUGCAUCGGCGCGUGCUGACAGCCAUAAACCGGCAGACGAGCAUGUCUCUUUCAGCAGAGUCAAUUUUACAGCCUGAGUUGCAGCUCUGAACUGGCAAAUCAAUAAAAUCAGAGGGAGUUAAAUAAUUUAGAGCGGGCUCUAAUUAGUCUUCUAGUCCUGCAGUAUGGAUUGCUCCACAAUAUUGAUGACAGAGUGCCUGUUUAUGGAAGAGAUUGGAGGACUGAGCUCUCUUCUUCCCUGCCUCGUUACCAGAGUGCAAGGCUACGUCAUAGAAUAGCGGCAGUGAUUCUAAGUGGAUUCUUAAUCUUUUUUUUGGAAGCGGGGAGGGUAAUAAAGCAGAAGUGAUGGACUCGAAAGGAAGCAAUGGAUUACAAUAUACAGUACAGCACUGUUUGGUUUGGUUUGGCUUGUUUCGGUGUAAUUGUCAGUAAAAAAGGUCACCCCAAAUGUGUACUUUCAUUUAACAGAAUGUGCAACAAUAUACAAGUACAGUAUACAAGUGUCUGAAAUAGAAAUGAAGGGGGCUUAUAUAUAUUCAAUGAAAAAACUCAUUCAUGUCACCAAUCAUUUGGUGUUUAAAAUGAGAUAUUCUCUUUGACCGUGACUCUAUAUGCUAUAUGCAUAUAGCUCAUACAAAUAUCAUUAUUUGUCUUAUCGGUAGGAGGGAUUAGGCAAAAAAAGGGCAGGGAGAAGCACACGUGUGAUGAUGAAAGAAAUGCUCUACACAUACAUGAGUGUUGCAGGGACGACUCUCAAAAAUUAAGAAUUAGUUUCACUUUUGGUUCCCUUGUCUCAAAGCCAUUGCUCAAAGGGUUUUUGGUUGGGUCUUAAAUAAGGUCCUUAAUAUGAUGGUUUCAAUCAAAUAUGCUUUUACAGUAGUUCAUGAGUGGUUGUUGCAUACUUAAAGAUCUAAGAGUUUGAUUAUGUUAUGGACAUGGACAAGUUAUGGACCUGGUAUCUUUUAUUUGUGUUAUAUUGUAUAAGUAUAGGCGCUGUACUCUGGAUUUUAUGCAUAAAUGUUCGUGGACCUAUUUUAGUGCACAAUUACAAAUUGAAAAAAGUCAACCUCGGAUAAACACUGUUACGCGUUCGCUGAGAUAAAAAAAAACUCCUCUAUAUGUACAAAGUUGACGCAGCCGGGAUACGGUUUCAUUGUUCUAAACUGGCCCGCAUUGUUUCCGUCUGGCCUGCUUGUUUGUGUGCUUCUGCAAGUGUGACGUGCAUGUUCACUCGCCGCAGUUAUCAGUGCAUUGUCAGUGCCUCGCUUGUAUCUCUGCUUGCACCUCCCGUGUGUGUGUGUGUGUGUGUGUGUGUGUGUGUGUGUGUGUGUGUGUGUGUGUGUGUGUGUGUGCGCGCGCGCGCGUGAACGUGUGGCGGUUGUUAUCAGUCACGGGGGGGAAACUAUCGAUCAUCUCUUUUAAUUACCCCGAGCAUAGCGAGAGGCCUAAAUUAACUCCUCUCCCCUCCUCUGGCUGCUGAAAAAGCCAUGCAUAUUUCACGAGCGGGAGACCAAUCGUAUGUCACUCAGCCCUUCUCCUCUCCUGUGACAAGACAAGACUUAUCACUGUUAUUUAUCUCUCCCGUCCCUCCCUCCCCUCCUCGGGCAAGCCUGAUGUCUGUGUGCAAAACAAAGGCGUGAAUAAUAAAUAUACACAUUGUGUGCGCUUGAGUUUGUACCGGAGUGCCUCGGUGGAAAAAAAGGAAAAAAUCUCAAGUGUCCUCAUACUUGGCUGGCUUGCUUGUUUGUGUGUGUGUGUUUGUAUGUGAGCAGCCAUGUGUGUGUGAGUGUGUGUGUGUGUCCCGGCUGCGAUACGAGAAGCAGUAAAAAGCCACAGAGGUGCAUUAGAGGUGUUUUACCCUGCUGCUGUCAUUGGGGCUUGUCUGCUGCUGGUGACACGGAGCGUUUUCCUUCAAGAGGCUAUUCUGUAAAGGCCUCUUCUCUUCCCUUCCCUUCUCUCCAUCUUUCUGUCUCUCUCCCCUUUGCACUUUUUCUUUCACGAUAGUAAAAAAAAAAAAAAGAUACAAUCACAGAAAAAUGAAGAAGCGAUGGAGUAGUCCAACCACAUUGAUUCUUAACUUUCCCAUGAUUGUAUCUUUCCUUUUUUUCCUCUCUCUGGCUAAACUGCCGUAUGCUAGUGUCCAUCCUGACGGCGAUCUUUUGGAAGAACGUGUAAAUGUCACACACUUAAAUACACAUGAAACUACAUUUCCCACUUGUGCAAAGGAACACAAAUAGUUCAAAGGACAGUUUCUAAUAAAACGAGCCAAAUGACGCAAACAUGUAAACAUGCACAUCCCAUUCGUGGUCUGCAAACAGCAUCAGGAUGGUAAUCAGGAGCAUCGAGAUAAAUCUUUUCUUCCCUCAUCUCUCUUUCUUCGACAUACAUUUUCGCUUAACCAUAGUCAUUGGCAUGGCGCCGGCUCGCAGAGGUCAAAUCAAACCCUUUUUCACUCACAACGUCCCCACAAUGUCAGAAAAUCUGAACCUCUGCAUCACUGUUGACAGCAGGCCCGUCCCAGUGAGGAUCGUGCCAUCAGCACACUGGUUUUCUAUGAAAGGCCAUAAGCAUCUAGAGGGCAGAAUCUGAUUAAUCCAAACAAGCUCCAAAAUAAAACAUUUCAACCGGCCAAGAUUCCGCUGUAUUUAUAGCAGGCCGUUUGUGUGUUGCAUCCGGGUUUGCUUCUACUAGUGAAGGUCUAAAACUGAAUCCAUUUUAUUGCAAAUGUGGCUGGGAAUGAAUGAGAUUUUUUUUUAAAUGUAACAAUUUCUUAACAAAUUAAUUUCCUUACGAAAUUAUUUAUCUGGCUAAAAAAAUCGGACUGUUUUAAUGCUUCAUAACAUAUCCGGCCUAAUAAUUACUAAUAUUGCUCUGUCAGAGUGUAUUUGGAACUUUUGUAGGCAGAGUUUAUAAAGAUCAUGUCAUUUUUGACAACAUCUCUUAAAGAGAUUUAGCUUGUUGGUGAACUUUUUUAAAAGCAAUAGAAGAAAUCUGAUUACGCCAAUUUGCCUGAAGAACCUUUGACAGGUAUCACAAAUAUGUCUGCCUCGCCCACUUCCUUUCCUCCCUCACCGCUCUUUAUCAAGCCGCAAUGGUUGACGCCGGGCUAUGAGAGCCAUUUGUUAGUUCUCCAGCUCCUUCCAACUCCUUCCUGCCAUUUGAUUUUCUUCCCUCACAUUAUAAUCUCUUCCUCUCAGUGUGUGAGUGCAUGUGUGUGUCUUAACGGGAGAGAGAGAGCGAGAUUUGACUUAUAUUAGUGAGCUGACAUGGUAAACAAGCCUUGCCUGUCUGUCUGUCGGUUUUCCAACAAUGAGUCAGAGAGUCCGUCAGCUACACAAUCAGUCAACCCACGAGUCAGUGAAUUAUCCCACAGCUACUAAUGGUCCUUCCUCAAGCCCACUCCCAUUCUCCUCUCACACUCACACACACACACACACACACACAGCAGCCAUCCUCUGUGUAAUUUAAAUGACUGUCAGGUCAGUGGCGAGAGCAUCACCUUGCCACGUUAAAAAUGCCAGGCGGCUGCUAUCGUCACCGCCAACAAGCUGCCCAAACUGUCACACACACACAUGCACACACACACGCACAAACACACACACACACACAGGCGUGGAGAGCUGUCAGCCACCGGUCACAAUGCAUUUACUUAGUGACAGAAUUCUAAUUAGUGGUCUGACUGGUGUCACCUGACUUGGAGAGAUCGAGAUGGAAAGAGGUAGAGGGAGAUUUGUAUCGUGGAAGGGAGAGGGGAAGGCAUUGUGGGAAAAAUAAAAAAUGUCGACGAGUGGGAUGGAAGGUUGAGGAGGGGAAUAGGGAGAGGUGGCGGCCGGAGAACGGAGAUGGUCACAGUGAGAGAGAGGAAGAGGCAGAGGAAGUGACAGAAAGGAAAAAGGAAAAAGGAGACGCGGACACAAAAAGAAGAAAGUCAGACGAAGGAACACAUCGGCGCUUGUUUCCCCCCCGCCGGCCGCAUUUACAUAAAACGUAGCAAAUUACCUCCUACGAGUGAUUAAAGCCAUCCGCAGAGCUGCCAACUGCCGGCUGGCCUAAUUGCCAGGCGGAAUGAGGGUGCUAGAGUUUAACCCCACGUGGCCCCUUGACGUGACUGCACCCUUCCCUGUGACGUGCCAUCACAGGCGGGGGAGGCGGUGUUGCCACAAGUAGGGAGCAAAGAAGACUGUCGUCCCACCAAAUACCUGUUUCCAACCGCUCUCCAAUGGGAGUAGCUAGCAGCACAAGCUCCUAAAGUCACUCAGUGAAGCUAAAACAUAAAAAGUUGGCAACCCUUGACCCUGGUGAAGAACAUGGUAUACAGGCAGAACAAGUACAAGCAGAACAAGUACAGAUAGAACAUGUACAGGCAGAACAUGUACAGGCAGAACAUGUACAAGGAAAACAAGUACAGGUAGAACAAGUACAGGCGGAACAUGUACAAGUAGAGGUAGAACAGGUAGAGAUAGAACAUCUAUAGGCAGAACAAGUACAAGUAGAACAUGUACAGGUAGAACCAACGUGAUCUCCAAAACCUGUUCGGAAAAAUGUACACGAAAUAUUUGACAUUGAAAUUCGUAACAAUACAUACUAACUGGCGCCCCUCGAGUGAACGUCUCUCCACCAUGUUGGAUUCUUGAGUGAACGUCUCUCUGCCAUGUUCGACGGGGUUACGAACAGGUUUUGGAGAUCAGGCUGGGGUAGAACAUGUAUAGGCAGAACAUGAACAAGCAGAACAUGUACAAUCAGAACAAGUACAUGUAGAACAUGUAUAGGCAGAACAUGUACAAGCAGAACAAGUACAGGCAGAACAAGUACAAGUAGAAUAUGUACAGGCAGAACAUGUACAAGCAGAACAAGUACAAGUAGAACAUGUACAAGCAGAACAAGCACAGGUAGAACAGGCAGGACAAGUACAAGCACAAGUAGAACAUGUACAGGCAGAACAUGUACAGGCAGAACAUGUACAAGCAGAACAAGUACAUGUAGAAAAUGUACAGGCACAAUAUGAACAAGCAGAAUAUGUACAAGCAGAACAAGAACAUGUAGAACAUGUACAGGCACAACAUGUACAUGUAGAACAUGUACAGGCAGAACAUGUAUGAGCAGAACAAGUACAUGUAGAACAUAUACAGGCAGAACAUGUACAGGCAGAACAUGACCCAUGCUACAAACUGUUUCUCAGUUUUGUUCCACGUUACAAAUUGUAGGAUAAAACACCAGCAGCACAGUGUGCAGCAGCUGAGAAUAGGACUUCAGUCUCCUACCCUCUUUUGACCUUUGCUGAUCCCUGCAUCUCUUCUCCUCCACCCAGACUUCAGUUCACCACUCCAUCUCUACACUCGACUGCCACUCUGCCUCUUCACUCGCUCUCCAUGCUCCAGCUCUGCCGCCUACCUCGCAUGGUUUUGUUCCCACUACAGCUUCAAAACAGCCAGGUUGUGGACCACAUAAAUAUUCAUCAGAUGCAAAGUCCUGAAUUGUAAUUGUCCAGUGUUCUCACAUUAACUGCAGUCUUUAUUUCAGUGAUCAUAUGAACCUUCUAGAUUUUCUUCACCUGAAUAAAUAAAUAAGAAUGAACUUACUAUUACUUCUCCGAAAAUGCGAUUUGAAAACAUUUUUGGCAGACAGUAGGAAAUGGAGCCAGUUUAAAACACCAGAGCACAGGGGACACAAGAGGCUUUUAAUCCCCUUGAAGAGUUCAUCCUGGCACUAUUACGGAGCCUCUACAGUAGGGUUGUGGGGUUAGCUCUGACCCUGGAGGUCAGGAAGAGAGAAGAGGGCUAUGGGACUUAGUGAGCCCAGGUUUGAGAUCUCUUCCAGGGGUCAAGCAGCACAGAGGUUCCCUCUCCAUCCUGCUCCCCACUCUGGUACUAUUAACUGGUGGUGUGAAGAGGCACUUUGUUUCCCUGCUCUGCAUUUGUCUCUCUCUGUCUUCUGGCCUGCAUGGCUAGUUGAGUCUAUCUCUGGUUGGUUGGGAGAGAGAGGUCCUUGGGACUCGUCAGAUCCAGGACAAAGAGCUCUUUAAGGGGCCAGCAGUUAGUGGAGUGUUCCCCUCUGUCUUAAUCAACUUCAGACCCUUUACACCUCCAGUCGUUCUCAGCUGCCCUUAUGUCAAGGACCGAUAUACAGAUCCACGUUUUGCAGAGAUUCAAGUUUGCAAUUCUACUGGGUAAUGUUUCAUUGUCUUUGUUUCAGUAUUAUCUUUGUUAUACAUUUUAUUCAAGCCAAUAUUUGUAGCUAGAGGAGUCGUCCUGUCCAUCCAGUCCUGUAGAGACCCCUGAAUAAGGCCCGUUGAACCCCACUGGGGAAUAAUGUGCUCUAGACCUGCUGAAUACAAGAUAUUUGACAGAAGCCUUGUGUUGCUAUGGGGGGAGGGAAGACAGCAGUUCCUGCAGCUAAAAUUGCACGACCAACGUUGGUGAUUUCAUUGAACAAGCCUUUCUCAAAGGUUGGUUUCUUAAAUUAUUUCUUUUUCAAAGUUGGCAAAGUUUUAAUUGUUCUUUCACGUCAGCUAUAAUUCACCAUGUUUAUUUUUGUCCGAGGUUCAAGACCACUAUUCACAUGUUUAGAAAGUGUAUGAUCGCUUAUGCUUGGAAUGCAUUUGGCUGAGGUGUUUCGACAGCACAUGUAGGGCACAAUCUGUAAUUUUAUCAUACUAGAGAAGAACUUUUCCCUUGUGACACUUCAAAAUGUGGACAUUUGUGAAUGGUGUGACCGAAGAUGCCUUAAUCUCAGCAGUGCUGACAUGGGGUUUGGUUUUAACAGACUUGUUCCCAGGUGCCCCGGGGGGGGCUCAGUAAUAGGGGGAAUCAACCAGUCCUCCAGUCACAAGUCUGCUUCUUUCAGUAUGUUUCAUCGGUGUGCUUCUCUGCUCAAUUAUGUUUUCUUUAAGUUAAUUUCUUUGCUUUGCUUUUAUGUUCUAUCAUUGCAUUUAAUCUCAUCAAGGUUAUAAUGGUUAUUUUUAUAAUAAUAAUUCUAGAAGCUUAAGAAACUUCAACCUGUAUCAGGAUGAUCCUUUUUAAUCAAGUUCAACUGUCCCCCAUUGAUCAUUUUAAACCAAACAAAAGGAGGAACUUCAUUCUCGUAUAAUCUGCAUAACGCUUAAGGACAUGGGGAAAAAAUGUAUGCUAAUUGAUUAACAUUCCUAUCAAGGCCUUGUAAUUAUUAUGAUGGUGUCCUGGGUCAGUUUUGAAAGGUAGAACGUAAGUUUAUGAGGUCCAUGAUAAUAUCACCACGACUCAGGCCUGGAUCAGUGACGGACCAUGAAUGCAUGGUGGAAAGUUAUGCCAUAAUGUGUAUCAAAUGUUGUCAAACCAAAUUAAUUAUUAAUUAUCGAUACACAUUUGUGAGUAUUCUAUAUUGCAUGUAAUGUGAUUGAACUAUGAACCUUUGGCAAUGCAAAGAGAGGGGAACGGAUGAUUAAGGAUGAAGCAAAACUUCUCUCCCUUCUCACCUGUAAAGCUGCCCUGACGCACAGCAAAUCAUCAUCAUCAUCAUCAUCAUCAUCAUCAUGGUCGUCGUCGUCAUGGUAUCUCACACAUUCCCCUCUUCUACCCACCGAUCAGCUGACGGCCUCUCGCCUUUCACGUCCACAGACAUGACCUCACAUAUGUUUACCUGUGUGCCUGUGCAGUUAUGUGACAAGCUGAUUGCCAUUACGUGUUCGACAGACGACAAGGGUCAGCCGAGUUCGCCCCCGAGCCCCAUCUCCACACGGUACGAAGUGAUCCAUGCUGUUGCCAUUGUGUGGAGGGGAGGGGGACAGGAGGAGGAAAAGAGCAGACGGGAAAUAACAGCCUGGGCUUAGAUGUGGUUAAACGUGUUGUAGGACUUAACAAUCCUGAUAUUGUGUUUAAAGAAAGCUAAAUAUCCCUCUUCAUGUGAGAAAGACAGUUCAAGGAUGGAGUUCAACCUCCUCUAAACCAGGUUCUCCAAACCUUAGAUUGAGAUCUUUUGAAUUGAAGCGUCACCUUAUAUAUUAUCUAAAACGAUGGUGCUCUCAUCACAGAUCUCAAGCCCUGACCGUGUUGGCUGCUUCGUCACUCACUUUGGUCCUGACGGAAAUAUAACAUGAAAUGUGCCGAAGACCUUCUUGUCCCCUCAGGAUGGAUUUAGUUUGGUUAUCCUUUAACCGUUCAGCUACAAACGUCAUCAGGACAAAAUGUCACUCCCUCAAUACUUUUGUAAUUACAGUGAUUAAGGUGAACGCUGCGUCUGCUUACAGACUGUUAGCAUGGAUGCUCAGCGCAUGUUGCCAUGCUAGCACACACACACACACACACCCAAGUCACAGGAAAUAACCUACCUUAUUAAACGCAGUGCAAAUCUAAAAUACCUGUACUGUAAUUAAAUGUCUGUAUGUCACCGCUUUUAGUAUUGCCGUGACUUUGUAGUGUCGUUACAUUGUGCAACACCGAGAUGGGAAAUACACCAGAAAAGACAGAAGAAGUCAUUGUUACUUUGUAACCUCUGUGCCACUUCUGUUGCCCUCGUUUUUGUUUUUUUACUGUGCACUGACACAGCAGCCCAACAUCACAAGAACCCUGUGUGUGUGUGUGUGUGUUGUAAUUAGAGUAAUGUCAGUGAGUCAAUGUGCUGUGACCCAGGCCACAAGAUACCGACAACAUUACACUCGCACACACACACUCAUUACCUCUAUGCUGCAGUUGACCGCUUCACAAUGACAGGAACCACUAGCAAUGCUUCCUCAAAGUUCCUUUGGCCAAGUGGAUGGAUGCUGUGUGUGUGUGUGUGUGUGUGUGUGUAUUCGCAGUGCAGAGUGAGAAUGACUGAGGGCAACAAUGACACAGACUACAUUCCCUCAUUCCUCCUGCGACAAACUCAAAGGUAGAACUUUGACAGACUUGUCUGUUAGCAAAUGUUACCGGAGUAGUUAUAGUACACAUAUACAGUAAUGGUGUUUUAACAGAAUAGAUCAUCACCAUCACAGUGGUCCUCAAGCUUUUGCAUUGCUUAAUGUGUCCACUGUAGUGGUGCACCGCUCUUCCCUCUUCUAUUCACUUUUCUCCUCAUCCUUCAUCCUUUCUUAUACCGCCAUUUUCCACUAAUAUCUGUCUUUGCACUUUUUCUCCUUCUCUCUACACCGACAUGCUCCAUCAUCCCGUUUUACCCUCCUUUGCUCCGCUCCAUCUCUGGGCUUACAGCAGUCAGGGCGCUUAAGGGAAACACUCAAGUAGGCAAAGCAAAUGUCAGAGCAAAUGGUUGCUCCCCCAGGAGGGAGACAACUGAGGAAUCCUUCUUUCUCUUCUCAAAUCUCCCUUUUUCAUUUUAUUAUUUAUAAAUCUACUACAUUGCAAGCUCGCACUGUCAGAGCACCAACGAAAAGGUACCACUCCAUAGUAUAUCACAGAGGCUGUGUACACUUAAGGAUAAAGAAAAAGGCUGAAUCGUUUUCUCAAAUGCAGUUAUCAUAAAAAUGAGCUGUUUUGGCAAAAAAAAAUGAUAUUAUACACUUUCUGUAUACCUGACAAAGGUCCAUUCACGUUGAAUGUAAAAGUUUGCUGGUUUCUUUCACCACUUUGGUGAAAUAUCUUGGCAAUAAGUGGGCCUUUUCACAAUCCCCUGAGGUUGAAUCAUUAUGUAUGUCAACCGGCAGGGGGACGUCUUUAGCUUUGAGUGAAGUCUCAACUCCCAUUGGAUGGAUUGCUAUGACAUUUUGUACAGGCCUUCAUGGUCUCCAGUGGAUGAACUCUUCAGCCAGGUUCAGACAAACAGUAGUGUAGGUGCCGCCUGAAACAGGAUUCCUUUGCUACGUGCGUAUCUGUUUUCUACUCGUGUGCUAUUUCAGCUUGCGUUACUCCCAGCUGGACUUUCUGGAUCGGACUUCAUUGUCUCAACCAGGAAAACCUUAAACCUUCACGUUGAAUAAAGUGAGCUUUACUUCCAUCCCAGAACGACUGUCACGGUGUGGUGCACUUCCUGUCUUAUUUUGUAAUUUUCUGCCACUCGUGUCCCCGGGUAACUUCACUUCCUGCCUGGUCCUGUCAUCCCCUGUGAUUGUCGGAUUGUUUCCACCUGUGUCCAAUCACCUGCACCUCCCUAGUGUAUUUAAGCAGUGUGUGUUGUUUGUCACUUGUGGCGUCAUUGUCCUUGGUCACGGAUGUCCCUGUCUACCGUGGAUGCUCCUCCUCCUCCUCCUCCUCCUCCUCCUCCUCCUCCUCCUCCUCCUCCUCCUCCUCCUCCUCCUCCUGCCUGCCUGCCUGCCUGCCUGCCUGCCUGCGUCCGCCUUUUACUUUGUGGAGUUUUUGACUAUUAAAGUCUUUUUUUGUUAAAAGUCUGCGUUUGAGUCCUGCCUUCCUACCCAAUCCUGACAACGACAAACCAUCUCAAACCUCGUCUACUGAAAUAAUUCACUUUGUGUAUUACUGUCACAUACUUCUCAUACGUGUACCUAUGUGUACAUACGUGUUUUUGCAAGUUUUUAAUUUUUUAUCAUAGAUCUAUUCACCAACUAAUGAAUGGUGUUUUUCUUUUUUGAUCCUAUGCUUUGAAAUCUCAUUGGAACCUUGACACAGUUUUAUGUUAUUUCUCUGGAAUCUUUCAAAAGUUUGAAAAUACUAAAAAUUUGAACAUCAACUUUUAUCCAUCUUGCAAUCGGGUUUUCUUUACCAUGAGCUUUAUAGCUGGUCGGAGUUCCACUGACCCGUUGGAAGUAUCCUCAGAUAUUCUUUUUACGCAAAUCCCUCAUCGACGCGUGUCACGAAGCACCUGUCGGGUGUGCCACUUAGUUCUUGUUUCGUCAACACACCAAUUGGCAUAACUAACGAUGGAACAAAAACUUCCAGUUACGACGGAGCAUUUGACAUAUGUAUCUCUGUCUGAUUGCUCCCGGAGGGGUCGGUACUUGCUGAAACAGUUUUUCUCACUGUUGAGGCAACAUCAUUAAUGGUCCGUGUGCAACCACCAGCUAUCCCAACAUCACGAUCCAUAACUACAGACACUGGGAAAAAGAAGACGAGGGAGGGAGGAAGAGAGGAGCGCAGGGACCUCAGUGAAUCACACUCGCGGCUCUCCCCGGCUCUAUUCAUCUGGGGGUGAUGUAGGACGCCGCGCUUCCUAUGAAUUAUAGAAACGAGCCCAUAAUAAAGCAAUAAAUAUAUUUCUCAAGGAGAGCCGCCGAGGCAUUAGCUGCGACAUUAGCAUAUAGGCUGCGUCCGCUCUCUAUCUGAGGCGGUGAUUAACUAAUGGGGCGUGUGUGUGUGGGUGUUCGUGUUUGCACGUGUUAAGGCAUGGUGUGUGUGUACGCAGAGAUGAUGUUUUUAGAAGUGUGUGCGUGUAUGUCUGGACAAAUGAGUGUGUGCGUGUGUUGGUGCAUUGUAUACAGUACGAGCAUGUGUGUGUGUGUGUGUGUGGUACGGCCUUAGUUGUAUUUGGAUGUUCAAUGAAUGUUUUUUCUGUGAAAAAGUCCUUGAAGAGUGUAUGUAGCAGACACCCCUACAUGGAAAUGGUAUCUGGGGCCAUUGUGAGUUAAUUGGGGAAUCCAUUUACACAUGCAAGCCCCCCCCCCCCCCCUCCAUCCCCCAGUACGAGCAAUUUAAAUAUGGAAUUAAGUCAUGUCAAGUCAGGCAAAUAAGAUACAACAUAUUUUCACCUGGUUAACAAUCUAAACCACUCGGAAAAAUAUUUGCGUUUUUUUUCUCCAAGUCCAGUAAAUAAAAUGUCCUCAUUAGCACACAGGAUGUGGGGUAUAUGGUAUAAAUAACAUUUACAUUCUGCGUCAAGUGUCGCCAUUUACAGCACAAUGCAAACCCCUUCAUUAUGUUGUGUUACGCUGUGUGAAUGUGUGGGAAGAUGUAUGCAUGCACAUGCUGUGAUUAUUGGUCUUGUGUGUGUCGUAAUGCACCGUUUCUCCCUUAAAUAAUUUCGCUGCCUAGUGAAAGAGGACCGAUAUGAAUUGAAUGUUUCCUCGGGCCCUCUGUGGGAAAUAUGUG
ensembl:lncRNA